UGGCGCUGGGAAGAGGAAGAAGAACAUUCGCCCUCCUCCUACCAGCGCGCGGGCGGCGGCGGCGGCGGCACCGGGGUCACGAACUCUGACCUUUCACUGACAAAAACAAUAACAAACCCCCCCUUCCCCGCGACCCCGGCGGCGCCCCCGGGCCCGCCCCCGCCCCCACCUCGGCGUCUCUUCUCUCGCCUGCUGCCCCGCGAGCCCGCGGCCCCCGGGCUCCCGCCAUCCGCCAACGCCGGGAGCCCGGCCUCCCCGCGCCCUGCCCUCCGCGUCGGGGGCCGUCCGCCGCAGACACGGGACCUGCUUCGAGGCCGCUUUGGCGCCAAAUCCUGAGGUUCUCUAAUGAUCUUGCUUCACCAUGGCUACAAAUAUGGAGGGGCUGGUUCAGCACAGAGUGGGGACCCAGCAGGUGGCUGAGGUACCACGGACACAGACCUCUCGGCCGGAAUCUCCAGGGAUGACCAGCCCCUCCCCGCGCAUCCAGAUAAUCUCCACCGACUCUGCGGUAGCCUCACCUCAGCGCAUUCAGAUUGUGACAGACCAGCAGACAGGACAGAAGAUCCAGAUAGUCACCGCAGUGGACGCCUCCGGAUCCCCCAAGCAGCAGUUCAUCCUGACCAGCCCAGAUGGAGCUGGAACUGGGAAGGUGAUCCUGGCUUCCCCGGAGACCUCCAGUGCCAAGCAGCUCAUAUUCACCACCUCAGACAACCUCGUCCCUGGCAGGAUCCAGAUCGUCACGGACUCUGCUUGUGUGGAACGUUUGCUGGGGAAGGCUGACGUCCAGCGGCCCCAGGUGGUAGAGUACUGUGUAGUCUGUGGCGACAAAGCCUCUGGCCGUCACUAUGGGGCUGUCAGUUGUGAAGGUUGCAAAGGUUUCUUCAAAAGGAGCGUAAGGAAAAACCUGACCUACAGCUGCCGGAGCAACCAAGACUGCAUCAUCAAUAAACAUCACCGGAACCGCUGUCAGUUUUGCCGGCUGAAAAAAUGCUUAGAGAUGGGCAUGAAAAUGGAAUCUGUACAGAGUGAACGGAAGCCCUUUGAUGUACAACGGGAGAAACCAAGCAAUUGUGCUGCUUCAACUGAGAAAAUCUAUAUCCGGAAGGACCUGAGAAGUCCUCUGAUAGCCACUCCCACGUUUGUGGCAGAUAAAGAUGGAGCAAGACAAACAGGUCUUCUUGAUCCAGGGAUGCUUGUGAACAUCCAACAGCCUUUGAUACGCGAGGAUGGUACGGUUCUCCUGGCCACGGAUUCCAAGGCAGAAACAAGCCAGGGAGCUCUGGGCACACUGGCAAAUGUAGUAACCUCCCUUGCCAACUUGAGUGAGUCCCUUAACAAUGGUGACGCUUCAGAAAUGCAGCCGGAGGACCAGUCCGCAAGUGAGAUUACUCGGGCAUUUGAUACCUUAGCUAAAGCACUUAAUACCACAGACAGCUCCUCACCUCCGAGCCUAGCAGACGGCAUAGAUGCCAGUGGAGGAGGCGGCAUCCACGUCAUCAGCAGAGACCAGUCCACACCCAUCAUCGAGGUCGAAGGGCCCCUCCUUUCAGAUACUCAUGUCACAUUUAAGCUCACCAUGCCCAGCCCAAUGCCAGAGUACCUCAACGUGCACUACAUCUGCGAGUCAGCGUCCCGCCUGCUUUUCCUCUCCAUGCACUGGGCCAGGUCAAUCCCAGCUUUUCAGGCACUUGGGCAGGACUGCAACACCAGCCUGGUGCGGGCCUGCUGGAACGAGCUCUUCACCCUCGGCCUCGCCCAGUGUGCCCAGGUCAUGAGUCUCUCCACUAUCCUGGCGGCCAUUGUCAACCACCUGCAGAACAGCAUCCAGGAAGAUAAACUUUCUGGAGACCGGAUAAAGCAAGUCAUGGAGCACAUCUGGAAGCUUCAGGAAUUCUGUAACAGUAUGGCGAAGCUGGAUAUAGACGGCUAUGAGUAUGCAUACCUUAAAGCUAUAGUUCUCUUUAGCCCCGACCAUCCAGGUUUGACCAGCACAAGCCAGAUUGAAAAAUUCCAAGAAAAGGCACAGAUGGAAUUGCAGGACUACGUUCAGAAAACCUAUUCGGAAGACACGUACCGGUGAGGCGCAAAGAUACACACUCUUGCUGUGGGGCAGGAGGGGGUGCAGCUGGAUCUGUAGUCACAAAUAUAAAUUGUCAGCCUUUCCACGUCUGGCAGCCCGGUGAAGCCUCCUUUUGAUCACACUUUAGUUCUUGCAUUUCAUGGAUGGUAACAGUGUGUGGAAAGUGCUAGGUGGGAGGGGCAGGAAUACUGGACCAUUCCAGUGUUUGCUGGGUAAACUGCAGGUGGAACCUUGGGUGGUUCUUCUGUAACAUGAGGGUUUGGAAUCGUUGCUGUGUAAUUCCCUCCGAGGCUCACGUCGUGCACAGACGGUAGUUCUCACAGAGAUUCCCUUUGUCCAGAAGAGCAGCUGUGCCCCCGUGGUCUGCGUCCACUGAAGAGGCCAAGCUAGCGUACGUGGUAGCAAAGUUUUUGUUGACAGAAACCGACCCCGACCUCUACAAAGGAGUGAGUGGGUUAUAGAAAAUAGUAAUUUUGCCGUCAGAUAAACUGAUUUUUUUUGAACUCCCAUUUUUUAGGUAAAAAAGUUAGUUUGUAUUAUUUGUAAUGAUUGGGCAGCAAAUACAUGUAUAUACACAUAUACUCAUAGAUAUACAUGUGAGCCUUUGUCAUGCAAAACUGAACAGGAAAGUUCUGAAAUAGGGCAGGAUGCCUGGCAGGCUUUCCAGCCAAGGAGUGGAGGAGCUCUUUCCCCAUGACCACUUCCAACCCACUGGAAACUCCAUGAAUUACUGAGGUCAUGUCAGGCAAACUAUUUAAUAUUCCCUUCCCCGCCCUGUCCUCUCAAAAUAAACACUGGAGCAAAAUUGACCCAUAAGAUACACGGCCCCACUUCUCUCCAUGUGUGUCCCCUUCACAGACCUCAAUCCAAAGAUGCCCCACAGAAUGAGGAUGCCAGGCCCCAGGGACCCAUUUCUGUGGUGUGAUUGGCAGACCUGUAGCUGGCCCUGCUGGGAGAGAACCUCCUCUGCUUUAGGCACACCUCCAUGGCCCACGCAUAGCUUUUGCCAGAGCAGGAUCCAUUUUGACUGGAAUCUAAGAAAACCUCACCAUGAGUCUCAAGUGAUUACAGCCUCAAUACAUAUAGAAUGGGACUGCCAAUGGGAGCUCUGCCACCCAUACCCAGAGCUCAUCCAACCCAGCCGGGUACGCAGGCAAGCUGUCCCCAGAGGUAGCCAUGGGCCUACUCCCACACAGUGUCCGUGGUCAGAAGAGACUGGAAAUGCCCCUGUAGGGACUGCUAACAGAACCACACAGCACACUAGAGCCGUCUUGACAACAGCAGCUCUCUGGCCUUUGAAAGUAGGUGUUUCUACAAAAAUCUAGUGAGGGACCUAGGGAUAGAUAAAGGGCAUGGUAAGAAAAGUGAUUUGGAACCAAAAAUGAGAUAAGGGAGGCUUUCUCAUAGGAUAGGACUCAGAAACUCACUCAGAGACAGUUCCCCCAAAAGCCCUAGGACGGUUGACACCCGUUUCUGCAUUGUUUUAGUCUUUCCCAUUUUAUGCCUUUUCUCAUACUGUCUGUUCCUCCUGAAAUAACCCUUCUAUCCCUCCCCAUUGUUUAUAUCUCUGCUGAGAGAAACCUCAGCCAGCCUCUAAGGCCCAGCUGACCUGUCCCCCCGCACACCCCAAGAAGUCCUCCUUGAUUGACCCUUGCUGAGUUUCCAAGAUCCUUCAUCCUGUCUGCCCCUUCUGGUCUGUGGUGGUGUCCCCUUACAUCUUUGUGUGCCCUGCAAGACUCAUGGUGGCUGGGCGAAUGGACGAUGAUGUUGGAAUGCCGCUUGCAUAAUCUGUAUUUUCUCUUUUUAAAAAUAACAGUGUUCACUGUAGGAAAGAAAUGAGAACAUUCUGGAAAGUAAAAUGGAAGCUUUUCAGUUCCUGUAAAUAGCACUAUCCAUAGUUAACGUUUUAUGCAUUUCCUUCCAGAAAUUUUUUAUGUCUGUGUAACUGGAAUCAUAAAAUCCAAAGUAAGGUUUUGUAACCCUUUCUUCAUGUAAUGUUCAACAAGCAUACUUCUGCAUUUUCUGUGGUUGAGGAGAUGCUGUCAUUUCUUUAGAACUUUCCUGCUAAUGAAAAUAUAGGUUGUUUCCAGACUAGGCUGGCACGCAGUGAGCAUCCUUGCACACGUAGCUUUGUACAGUGUCUAGAGCCAUCAGAACGGGGUCAUGAUGUGUCCUCCCACCCAGGGUGUUUUCAAAAUGAAAACAAUUUUAUUGCUUCAUUUUUUAAUUAGGAUGCUAUGUGAACACUAGAGUAAUACAGACAAAGGUUUAAUAAGUAAAAGCAUUCCAGAUCCCCAAACCCAGAGAUCAGGGUUUUGGUGAACAUUUUGGUGAACAUCCUUCCAAAUACUUUCUUAUACAUGCCACACAAAUAAAUUUACACAAAUGAGAUUGUGUUACACUUGCUGCUUCCCAGUCUCCUUUUAGGUUUUUACUUGGCUGUACAUCACAGACGUAACAUCAGUGAAUAUGUAUCUUUUUUAUACUUUUUGCUGAAUAUACAGUGUGCUCUUUUAUAUGGAGAUACCAUAAUUUAACCCAUCCUUUAUUGAUUUCCAAAUUUUUCUCUUUUGGUGGAGGUGGGGAGAAUUGUUAUAGAUGAAGGAAACAUUUGUACAUACAUCUUUGUACUUGGUUUUGAUUUUCUCUCAUGAUAAAUCCCUACAAGAGGAACUGUUGAAAUUUGAAAUACAGGGGGUAGGUCAUGGGUCUGUUUGUUUGUUUCAAUUCCAAGCAGUGCGGAGAGGGUCCCUGGGAGCCUGUCCAGGGAGAAGUCUGAAGGGCAGUGAACUCCCUUUCUCUAAUGAGCCUCCCUUUUACAGAUUGGCCCGGAUUCUCGUUCGCCUGCCAGCACUCAGGCUGAUGAGCUCAAACAUAACAGAAGAACUUUUUUUUACUGGUCUCAUUGGCAAUGUUUCAAUAGACAGCAUAAUCCCCUACAUCCUCAAGAUGGAGACAGCAGAGUAUAACGGCCAGAUCACCGGAGCCAGUCUAUAGUGUGCACCGCACGCCUGCCGAGAAGCAGAAGGAUCCUCCCAGGACCGCUCAGAUAACAGAAAA